rnacentral:rRNA from 1 species
GUCUGGGAUACCACUUGGAAACAGGUGCUAAUACCGGAUAACAACAAUAGCUGCAUGGCUAUUGCUUAAAAGGCGGCGAAAGCUGUCGCUAAAGGAUGGACCCGCGGUGCAUUAGCUAGUUGGUAAGGUAAUGGCUUACCAAGGCGACGAUGCAUAGCCGAGUUGAGAGACUGAUCGGCCACAUUGGGACUGAGACACGGCCCAAACUCCUACGGGAGGCAGCAGUAGGGAAUCUUCCACAAUGGGCGAAAGCCUGAUGGAGCAACGCCGCGUGAGUGAAGAAGGUUUUCGGAUCGUAAAGCUCUGUUGUUGGUGAAGAAGGAUAGAGGUAGUAACUGGCCCCUAUUUGACGGUAAUCAACCAGAAAGUCACGGCUAACUACGUGCCAGCAGCCGCGGUAAUACGUAGGUGGCAAGCGUUGUCCGGAUUUAUUGGGCGUAAAGCGAGCGCAGGCGGAAAGAUAAGUCUGAUGUGAAAGCCCCCGGCUUAACCGAGGAAUUGCAUCGGAAACUGUGUUUCUUGAGUGCAGAAGAGGAGAGUGGAACUCCAUGUGUAGCGGUGGAAUGCGUAGAUAUAUGGAAGAACACCAGUGGCGAAGGCGGCUCUCUGGUCUGUAACUGACGCUGAGGCUCGAAAGCAUGGGUAGCGAACAGGAUUAGAUACCCUGGUAGUCCAUGCCGUAAACGAUGAGUGCUAAGUGUUGGGAGGUUUCCGCCUCUCAGUGCUGCAG